UACAGAGGGUGCAAGCGUUGUUCGGAAUUAUUGGGCGUAAAGGGCGCGUAGGCGGUGCGGUAAGUCUGUAGUGAAAUCUCUGGGCUCAACUCAGAGUCUGCGGCAGAAACUGCCGUGCUUGAGUGUGGGAGAGGUGAGUGGAAUUCCCGGUGUAGCGGUGAAAUGCGUAGAUAUCAGGAGGAACACCGGUGGCGAAGGCGGGAUCCUGGGCCAGUACUGACGCUGAGGAGCGAAAGCGUGGGGAGCAAACAGG
rnacentral:rRNA from 1 species